rnacentral:misc_RNA from 1 species
ACACAACGCUCCUCUGCUGCUUGUUUCGCCCUCCGUGCCCGAUCCCCAUCACCAACACCCAGCGUCUGCUGCUCUCUUUGAAGUCUCCAUAUACAUAUUCUACAAUGAGCAGAGAAUGAGGUGUUUCUGCUCCCUUCUCCUCUCUCUCGCACAGUAAGCACACAGCAAGCGCUCUCGCCCUCUCGCGACGCUGCGCCCGACUCGUCUCACCAAACGAAAGCCACGCGCGCACACAAAAAGGCGAACAGCGCCCUUAAGAAGAGCAGCAGUGGCGAUUUGGAUCUCGUAUCCACUCUGCUCUUACGCACAGCAAAGAAACCUAAAAAAAAAACAGCAGAAAAAAAGCCUUUGACGCACGCCAUAGCACAAGCACACAUACACAGCGCUGGUGCUCUCAUAACUCGCGCGCUCUAACCCUUCUCGCUAGAUUCGAUGGCGUCGCUCAAGGAACGCGGCACCGUAGCGCCGGCUGAGAUCGAGGCGUGCGUCACAGCCUCGGGCCCGGCAGAGAUCUCUGCUGAGGAGCUGCACAAGAUUCUCAACUCCCCGGAGCACGCGUCGGUGGUGGUGGUGGUCGACGUGCGCAACGCGGAUGAGUACGCCUCCUUUCACAUCCCGGGGAGCAUCAACAAGCCCUUCCAGGAGCUGAACUUUGCCCAGUUAGCGGACGAGGUGGAAGCGCACACGAAUCACGCCGCGCACAUGCUGGUGUUCGUGUCUGCGCAAAGUCCUGACGUGGAUGAUCUGGCGGCGCGCGAGUACAUCAACGAGUACGAGAAGUCACACGCCGCUCCCCCAACAAAGGACUCGGUUCGAGUGUUGCUGGGAGGCCUCUACACCUGGUCCCAGAUCUACCCCGCGUAAACCAAAAAGAAAAAGAAUAAGAGGAACAGCGAAGGAGAUGAGCGAAAUCUGGAGAAGGUCGCGCACUGCUUCCCUGUGUGAAUCCAAGCGCAUGCAUGCACGCAAGCAGGAAAAAAACGAACAGAGAGGGCUGAAAGGGAAACCCUUUCCCUUCUUCGUCCUCCUCGGCACUUGGAGCUGUCGUUUGGCUUUCGUUCGCGUGUUUUUUUCUUGCCUGAUCUUUUCCAGGUCUUUUUUGGUCCGUCUUUGGAGUCGCUCACUGCCGUAGCAUGUCCCGGAGACUCGCACGCUCAAUCUUUUUUUCUGCUGUGAAUCUCUCUUUUAUCCACGAAUGUUAUCUGUACAGCUGCUUAGUAUCGGCACGCUUGCGCGGGUGUGCCUGGUGGCUCGUGUCGAAGGGUCUCGUCGCUUCGCCUCCUCCUCCCCUCCCCUCAAAUGCCAUUUCGCUGGCGCUUGUGUCUCCAUUAUAUCAAUGUGCCGUCUGUUUGUGGAUCUGCCGCUCCAGACAGUCGCGCUCUGCGUCUCUCCUCCUUCCCUUCUCCUCGCCCCUCCCGCGCACACGCACAACGCAUACAUGCAUUUUAG